rnacentral:misc_RNA from 1 species
CAGAAGUGGUGGGUGAAAACGACGCUUUCUCUUGCUUGUUAAUGCGAAAAUAGAGCAGAGUAGAAAGUUUUACGAUGGCUAUGGCAAGUGUUGUUGGUGAAUCAGAAAUUGAGGAGAAUGAGAUAAUGAAAAUGGGAUCCUACGGAGGGAAGGUGAAGGUGUUGAGGGACGAUCAAGAAUCUCCUGCCGAGGAGAUAAUGCUCCUCUGGGGAAUCCAACAGCCUACUCUUUCUAAACCCAAUUCUUUCGUCUCCCAAUCCUCUCUCCAACUCCGCCUUGAUGCUUGUGGCCGCUCUCUCUCCAUUCUCCAGUCUCCUUCUUCUUUGGGUGCACCUGGAGUAACUGGUUCAGUGAUGUGGGAUAGUGGGGUUGUAUUGGGGAAAUUCUUGGAGCAUGCUGUGGAUUCCAAGUUGCUUAUGCUUCAAGGAAAGAAGGUUGUUGAGUUGGGUGCAGGAUGUGGAUUGGUAGGGUAAAUAUAAUUGCUAUCUCAAUGUCUUCUUUUUGCCUUCUUAAUUGAAUUAUCUUUUAUAUUUUAAAGAAGUCUUCUUUUAGCAUUUCUUAAAAAACUUUACUUGAUAUACAAUGGCUGAAAAAUAUGUCGUCAAAACCAAUUUCAGAAGGUCUACCACUAAGGUCAUUUGGCCUGUUUUCAUAUAAACAAACUCAUUAAAUCUAUAUGGUUAGCUUAUAUAGAGAUGCAUGAAUAGUGUAAUUUUUAUUGUUAGUUAUCCUGUUUCUUUUUCUCAAUUGAACUUGUUCACUCAAAUUUUUGGUUUCCAGCUGCAUUGCAGCUCUGUUGGGUGCUCAAGUUACACUCACUGAUCUCCCUGAUAGAUUGAGGCUACUGAAGAAGAAUAUUGAAUCCAAUCUGAGAGAUGGAGAUUUGCGAGGCUUUGCAGUUGUGAGAGAACUCGUAUGGGGGGAUGAGCCUGACCAAGAUUUGGUGGAACCUGUACCCGAUUACAUUUUAGGCUCCGAUGUGAUUUAUAGUGAAGAGGCUGUGAUGGAUUUGUUGGACACAUUAAUGCAACUAUGUGGAAUCCAAACAACAAUAUUUUUGGCUGGAGAACUUCGGAAUGAUACUGUACUUGAAUACUUCUUGGAGGCUGCAAUGAAGAAUUUUAUGGUUGGCCGUGUGGAGCAGACACAGUGGCAUCCAGAUUACUGGAGCUGUCGGAUGGUGUUGUAUGUUCUGACAAAGAAAUGAGUUCAGCCAGUGAAAGUUACAUGAAAGUAUCAUGUUGUUAUAUUUGCUUAUUUAUGUGGUGAGUUUUGGGGCAAGGUUGAUAGUAGCACAUCAGUUCUGUACUGCGUACUUGUGCGUUUAGACUUGAUAAAGCUCAUUUUGCAUGUGCCUUUCGCUUAAUUUGCUUGUGAUUUUUCUUUUCAAAAUGUGUAAUCCUUGCGCUGAAUUUAUUUUCAUUUUAAAAAUUAUACAAAGAUGGACUCUGAUCAUGAGUUUUUUUUUU